GAUGAACGCUGGCGGCGUGCAUAACACAUUCAAGUCGAACGGUGAAGUACCUUCGGGUACGGAUCAGUGGCGGACGGGUGAGUAACGCGUGAAUAACCUGCCUGUAUGUGGGGGAUAACAACCGGAAACAGUUGCUAAUACCGCAUAAUAUAUGAGAGUCGCAUGUCUUUCAUAUCAAGAUUUAUUGCAUACAGAUGGAUUCGCGUCCGAUUAGAUAGUUGGUGAGGUAACGGCUCACCAAGUCGACGAUCGGUAGCCGGACUGAGAGGUUGAACGGCCACAUUGGGACUGAGACACGGCCCAGACUCCUACGGGAGGCAGCAGUGGGGGAUAUUGCACAAUGGNGGAAACUCUGAUGCAGCCAUGCCGCGUGUGUGAAGAAGGCCUUCGGGGUUGUUAAAAGGCACUUUUACCUAG
rnacentral:rRNA from 1 species